rnacentral:rRNA from 1 species
CCUACGGGGGGCAGCAGUCGAGAAUCAUUCACAAUGGGGGAAACCCUGAUGGUGCGACGCCGCGUGGGGGAAUGAAGGUCUUCGGAUUGUAAACCCCUGUCAUGUGGGAGCAAAUUAAAAAGAUAGUACCACAAGAGGAAGAGACGGCUAACUCUGUGCCAGCAGCCGCGGUAAUACAGAGGUCUCAAGCGUUGUUCGGAAUCACUGGGCGUAAGGCGUGCGUAGGCUGUUUCGUAAGUCGUGUGUGAAAGGCGCGGGCUCAACCCGCGGACGGCACAUGAUACUGCGAGACUAGAGUAAUGGAGGGGGAACCGGAAUUCUCGGGGUAGCAGUGAAAUGCGUAGAUAUCGAGAGGAACACUCGUGGCGAAGGCGGGUUCCUGGACAUUAACUGACGCUGAGGCACGAAGGCCAGGGGAGCGAAAGGGAUUAGAUACCCUUGUAGU